rnacentral:misc_RNA from 1 species
CGCACCUUGCACCCUCUGGUAUUCCGGAGGGUAUGCCUGUCUGAGUGUCAUGUCAAUCAUCGUCCCGACGGGUUCUGCCCGGAGGGGUCGGAUAUGGGUGUUGCCCCUCACACGGGCUCGCCUCAAAUGCAUCGGCGGCCGUCAGCGGCCCGUCGUCGAGCGUGAUACGUUUCGCUUGUCGAUGGGACGCGAGGCCCCCUCGGAACCGCCGCGAAAGCGGAAGCAUCGAUUGACCUCAGAUCAGGUAGGACUACCCGCUGAACUUAA